rnacentral:sRNA from 1 species
UAUUAGCCCUGAUCGCAGCGGCAUCCUUUUUAUUUUGUCCUUCGAUCCUUCCAUGAACUCUGGACAGGCUAAGCUCAGGAUGACAAAAUAAAAAGAUAGAGCGGAGAGCAGGAGAGAAC